AAGACCAUAAAUAGAGCUGCUAACUCUAAAAUAAUGAAACCAUUUGGUCUUU
rnacentral:tRNA from 1 species